rnacentral:rRNA from 1 species
UGAGGAAUAUUGGUCAAUGGGCGCAAGCCUGAACCAGCCAUCCCGCGUGCAGGAAGACGGCGCUAUGCGUUGUAAACUGCUUUUCCAGGGAGAGAAACUUGCGCACGUGUUGCGCAAUUGACGGUACCCUGGGAAUAAGCAUCGGCUAACUCCGUGCCAGCAGCCGCGGUAAUACGGAGGAUGCGAGCGUUAUCCGGAUUCAUUGGGUUUAAAGGGUGCGUAGGGCGGACUAUUAAGUCAGUGGUGAAAUCCUGCAGCUUAACUGCAGAACUGCCAUUGAUACUGAUAGCCUUGAGUUUUGGUUAAGGUAGGCGGAAUGUGUAAUGUAGCGGUGAAAUGCUUAGAUAUUUACACAGAACACCAAUUGCGUAGGCAGCUUACUGAGCCGACACUGACGCUGAGGCACG